GAAGCGGCAACAGCUCAAAUUUGAAAUCGGCCCCCCGGCCGAGUUGUAAUUUGCAGAGGAUGCUUCUGGGCAGCGGCCGGUCUAAGUUCCUUGGAACAGGACGUCAUAGAGGGUGAGAAUCCCGUAUGCGACCGGCGCGCACCCUCCACGUAGCUCCUUCGACGAGUCGAGUUGUUUGGGAAUGCAGCUCUAAAUGGGAGGUAAAUUUCUUCUAAAGCUAAAUACCGGCGAAAGACCGAUAGCGCACAAGUAGAGUGAUCGAAAGAUGAAAAGCACUUUGGAAAGAGAGUUAAAAAGCACGUGAAAUUGUUGAAAGGGAAGCGCUUGCAAUCAGACUUGUCGGCGGGGUUCCGCCGGUCUUUUGACCGGCCUACUCUCCGUCGACAGGCCAACAUCGUCUGGGGCCGCCGGAUAAGACGUUAGGAAUGUGGCUCCUCGGAGUGUUAUAGCCUAUCGUGAUGCGGCGCGCCCCGGGCGAGGUCCGCGCUUCGGCAAGGAUGUUGGCGUAAUGGUUGUCAGCGGCCCGUCUUGAAACACGGACCAAGGAGUCUAGCAUCUAUGCGAGUGUUCGGGUGUUAAACCCCUGCGCGUAAUGAAAGUGAACGGAGGUGGGAGCUUCGGCGCACCAUCGACCGAUCCUGAUGUCCUCGGAUGGAUUUGAGUAAGAGCAUAGCUGUUGGGACCCGAAAGAUGGUGAACUAUGCCUGAAUAGGGUGAAGCCAGAGGAAACUCUGGUGGA
rnacentral:rRNA from 1 species